rnacentral:rRNA from 1 species
ACACCGGCGGCCCGAGUGGUGAUCGUGAUUAUUGGGUCUAAAGGGUCCGUAGCCGGUUUGGUCAGUCCUCCGGGAAAUCUGAUAGCUCAACUAUUAGGCUUUCGGGGGAUACUGCCAGACUUGGAACCGGGAGAGGUAAGAGGUACUACAGGGGUAGGAGGGAAAUCUUGUAAUCCCUGUGGGACCACCUGUGGCGAAGGCGUCUUACCAGAACGGGUUCGACGGUGAGGGACGAAAGCUGGGGGCACGAACCGGAUUAGAUACCCGGGUAGUCCCAGCCGUAAACGAUGCUCGCUAGGUGUCAGGCAUGGCGCGACCGUGUCUGGUGCCGCAGGGAAGCCGUGAAGCGAGCCACCUGGGAAGUACGGCCGCAAGGCUGAAACUUAAAGGAAUUGGCGGGG